UGGUUUGCACAUUUAUUUUUGGGUACCUUCCGUUGUCCAGUUUUUUGCUUUUUACCUUAGUACCUGUUCCUUUAAUUGAAGAUGACUAAUGGAAAGAAGGAAGCUUCUGAAACAAAGGCUAGAUUUGUUGGUGAUAAUCCUUCUCUACAAAUUAGUCCUGUAAAAUUGAGUGGAACUAAUUAUUUGGCAUAGUCUAGAUCCUGUCCACUUUUCAUUUAGGCUAGAAGACUGUAGGGGUAUAUCAUUGGAGAUAAGAAAAAGCCAGGAAGGGUUAGUUCUACCUAUAGCCAGUGGGAGUUGGAGAACUCUUUUGUUAUGUCAUGGCUCAUCAAUU
rnacentral:misc_RNA from 1 species